GAUGAACGCUAGCUACAGGCUUAACACAUGCAAGUCGAGGGGAAACGAUAGAGAAAGCUUGCUUUUUCUAGGCGUCGACCGGCGCACGGGUGAGUAACGCGUAUCCAACCUGCCCACCACUUGGGGAUAACCUUGCGAAAGUAAGACUAAUACCCAAUGAUAUCUCUAGAAGACAUCUGAAAUGGAGUAAAGAUUUAUCGGUGAUGGAUGGGGAUGCGUCUGAUUAGCUUGUUGGCAGGGUAACGGCCCACCAAGGCUACGAUCAGUAGGGGUUCUGAGAGGAAGGUCCCCCACAUUGGAACUGGGACACGGUCCAAACUCCUACGGGAGGCAGCAGUGAGGAAUAUUGGUCAAUGGACGGGAGUCUGAACCAGCCAAGUAGCGUGCAGGAUGACGGCCCUAUGGGUUGUAAACUGCUUUUAUAAGGGAAUAAAGUGAGUCUCGUGAGACUUUUUGCAUGUACCUUAUGAAUAAGGACCGGCUAAUUCCGUGCCAGCAGCCGCCGUAA
rnacentral:rRNA from 1 species